rnacentral:rRNA from 1 species
UGGGGAAUUUUGGACAAUGGGCGAAAGCCUGAUCCAGCAAUGCCGCGUGUGUGAAGAAGGCCUUCGGGUUGUAAAGCACUUUUGUCCGGAAAGAAAUCCUUGGCUCUAAUACAGUCGGGGGAUGACGGUACCGGAAGAAUAAGCACCGGCUAACUACGUGCCAGCAGCCGCGGUAAUACGUAGGGUGCAAGCGUUAAUCGGAAUUACUGGGCGUAAAGCGUGCGCAGGCGGUUUGCUAAGACCGAUGUGAAAUCCCCGGGCUCAACCUGGGAACUGCAUUGGUGACUGGCAGGCUAGAGUAUGGCAGAGGGGGGUAGAAUUCCACGUGUAGCAGUGAAAUGCGUAGAGAUGUGGAGGAAUACCGAUGGCGAAGGCAGCCCCCUGGGCCAAUACUGACGCUCAUGCACGAAAGCGUGGGGAGCAAACAGGAUUNGAUACCCUGGUAGUCCACGCCCUAAACGAUGUCAACUAGUUGUGGGGAUUCAUUUCCUAGUAACGUAGCCAACGCGUGAAGUUGACCGCCUGGGGAGUACGGUC